GAUGAACGCUGGCGGCGUGCCUAAUACAUGCAAGUCGUACGGAAAGGCCCUUCGGGGUACUCGAGUGGCGGACGGCUGAGUAACGCGUGGGAACGUGCCCCAAAGUGAGGGAUAACGCACCGAAAGGUGUGCUAAUACCGCAUAUGGUCUUCGGAUUAAAGCUUCGGCGCUUUGGGAGCGGCCCGCGUACGAUUAGAUAGUUGGUGAGGUAAUGGCUCACCAAGUCGACGAUCGUUAGCUGGUCUGAGAGGAUGAUCAGCCGGACUGGGACUGAGACACGGCCCAGACUCCUACGGGAGGCAGCAGUAAGGAAUCUUCCACAAUGGGGGCAACCCUGAUGGAGCAACGCCGCGUGCAGGAUGAAGGUUUUCGGAUCGUAAACUGCUUUUAUAAGUGAAGAAUAUGACGGUAACUUAUGAAUAAGGAUCGGCUAACUACGUGCCAGCAGCCGCCGUAA
rnacentral:rRNA from 1 species